CUGAGAGUUAAGGGCACUUUCCAAAAAAUUACCUAGCUAAAACUUUGACAUGCUAAAACUCAAAAUAAAUGACAAUUAUAUAUAGUGUUCAAACAAGGCCAUUCAAUGACUUGUUUGGAAAAAGACAGACAAGAUCAUUCUCAAAAUCCUCUCUUCUAACUAACACGUAACUGCCACUUUUUAGCAGUGACUACUCCAGGCCCACUUUAAUCAUCCUGCCUACAUAUAAAAAAAGUAAGACCAGUGAUUGAAUUUCCCCAGCCCCUGACAACAUCCAAUUCAUAACUGGACCCCAUGUUUUUAAAUCCUCCCUACAACCAUGGAAUACAAGCCCAAGUCUUAUAAGAAGCUCCUGAAAACUUUUUUACUGAGACAACCCCCAGUUCCUCUUAAGUGCACUCCCCCUGGCUGCAGUAAGUGAAAUAAAUCUAACUCUGACUACUGUUAUGUUCCUACUGCUCUUUGGCAGAUGGGCUAUAGCAGAUUUUAGAUUGUUUGACUAGAGGAAAGGUGGUGCUAGGGUACACUGAAAAGCAAUAUUUGAGAGAAGAUUGAAAAUUGCAUUUUAUACAUAUUGAGUUUAGGAUGCUUUUGAGAAAUUCAUAUGAUGUUAAAGAAGCACUGGUCUGCAAAGGUCUGUAGAACAAAGAGGAAGCCUGGAUACAAAUUUAGAAGUUACCAACAUUCAGAUGGAAAUUGAAGCUAUGAUGUGGAUGAGAUCACUCAGUACAAAAAGCAAAGGGAGGGAAGAAUGGGAACUAGGACCGAAUCUUCAAUAACUCUAAUAUGAAGGUUCUGUAGAGAAGGAUGAACAACAAAGAAGGCUGAGAAAGCACAUUCAGAAACAAAGCAGAAAGACCAAGAGAAUGUCAUCACAAGAACUAAGAAAAAGGCUAUUUCAGGGCCUUUGGAGAGAUCAAUGGUUGAAAGCAUUUGAGACAUCAAGUCAGUAGAGAAGGGAAGAAGUCCCUUUGGAGUUCAUCAUUGAUAUUUUUUAUGAGAGAUUUUUCAGAGUUGUGAUGGAAGCAGAAGCCAUAUUAAGUGGACGAAGGGUAAGUAUGAGGUAAGUUAAGUGAAGAAAGAAAAAGGGUCUUCCAGAAAGAAGAGUUUGAUAGAGGUAUAAAUAGUGGUUAAGAGAAUGGAUUCUAGAGAGAAAAUGAUAGACUUCAAAUCCCAAUUGUGUCUUUUACUAGUUGUGUGACCUUGCUUGGACUCCUUAACUUACUUGUGCCUCAGUUUCUUCAUGUGUCAACUGGGAGAAAAACAGUAACUGACCACAUGGGCUUGUCAGAGGAAUAGAUCAAUUAAUGGAAUUCCUUGUAUCUAGUAACCUCUCAAUAAAUAUUAGCAACAAUUAUUGUGAAAACAUGAAAUAGCAUGAUGCUAGUAGGGGCUUGAAAGUAGACCAAUGUGAAUGGUGAGUAUGGAGAUAAGACCAGAGAGGUUGACAGGGUCCUAAGCACAGAAGAUCUUGAAUGCCAUGCUAAAGAGGUAGAUUUUCUCUCAAGGCAUAGGAAGUCAUUGAGGGAGUUUAAGAAGAGAGUGAUGUCAUUAUAUUUCUAUUUUAGAAAAAUCACUCAGACUGUAGGCUAGAGGAUGGAUCAGAGUAGGACUGAGCUGAAGGCUGAGACAGCAGUUAGGAGCCUAUUUCAGAAACUUAAAUGAAAAGUGAUAUUGCCUAGAUUAAGGCAGAGAAAGUAGAAAUAGAGAAAAAAAUGAAUCGAGGUAAACGAUCAUGAUUUGGUUACUGAUUGGAUACUGUAGGUGAGAGAGAGAAUGACAUCUAGGAUACUUACUGUUCUCCUCCCCCCAAAUUUCUAGCUUGGGUUGCUAGCUGAGUAGUAGUGACAUUUACUCAGGAAGAAGGUCUAGGAGGGACAAAAGGUGAAGGGGUUGCUUGGGAAUUAGGAUUAUCAUUCAAUUUUGGAUAUGCUGUGUCUGCGGAACACCCAAAUGAUGAAGAUAUCCAUGUACAACCUAGAACCAAUAAGAAAGUUUGAGCUCAAGAUCUGUAAAUAGUUGUUUAAAUCAUGAGUAUUCCAGUGGUUACUGAGGAAGAAUGUCUAGAGAGAGAAUAGUGCUUGAAAGAAACUAUUAUUCAGUGAGUUUAUCUAGGAAAAUAACAUCAGUUGACGAUAGACAAAUGCUAAAUCUUAUUGAGAGUUUGGUAGAAGAUAAAUGAUGGCAACUGCUAUGGCUAACUACCAUCCUCAAAUCUGGUUCUUUAUUUAAGAGUGGAGAGUUAAUGACGAGGAGCAACAAUGGGGACCAAGAAGAAAGCUAACCCCUCUCUCCUCCACUCAGCCUCCCAAGCCUCUCCUCCUGGUCCAUGUUGUGUGAAAAAAUAAUCAUCCUGUAGUGGAGAGAGUGGCAAGGAAAGUAGUUACUUCUAUAAUACCUUGAGAUUUAGCCUAGCUUCAGGAAAGUAGGUGUUUGGUGAAAAAGGGGAUGGAACAGGGUGUUGGUUUUCUCUAAAGCAGGAUUUCCAGAAGGCCUCAGUGGAAAAAGAUGGCAGCAGUGGGAGAAUGAAUGAGAAGGAGGCUGGAGGGGCAAGUGUUCUCUCCUUUGGGGAAGAAUGACAAGAUGAAGGGGUGAACUCAGCCAGCUAUGUUUAAUACCCAAGACUCUCAGGACCACAGGUGAUGGGACCACACCUGGUCAUGGCAGCUGAGAUCCCUGGUGUGACCUGGCUCAAAAAGAAGAAUUAGACCUCUCAGAUUCUCUCAUUCUCAGGAUGGAUGAUUCUAGAAGCAAUAUAUGACCAGGAAAAUCCAAACCCUUUAGCAUGGCAUCCAAAUCCUCCAUGAUGCUUCGGCUGGCUACUUCCUCAGCAUCAUCUCUGCUGCACUGCAUCUAACCCCAGUUUCAACUUAUCCAGACCUUCUGUGACUCCCACAACAUCUCCAGUUGUUGCCUCCAUCUGGACUUUGCUCUCACUUAUCCCUCUUGUGGGAAGGCUAAAGUUCCUUUCUCUUCCCGUCAACACUUUCCGAUGUUGAUCUUCAAUAUUUAUGAUUCUUCCCCACAUUUAAAUCACUGUCUUUUUAUUAUGUCCCAACUAUAUUCUGUACAGCUGACUAUGACAGCAUCAAUGUCACUUUAUUGCACUUAAUUUUAAAACUUUUGGAUUCCUCUAUUCGACCUAGAGGGACAGAAAAUACAUCAUUUUUACUGUUUGUCCUACGCCUAAAAGUGGAAGCAUUCAGAACAUGCUGUGGAGGGAAGGAAGGCAACAAAUACACUGAUCCCUCAUGGAUCAAAAACUAGCCUCGCCUCUGAGAGAAAAAAGUAAUGCUGGGUUUCCUGCUAUGUGUCAAUUCCUGUGGGAAGCAUAUGCUGAUAUUCUGCCCACACCUCCACCAAUCACCCAGUGUAAGGGUAAAAACAUCAUCUAGGUCACCCGACGUGUGCCCAUUAGAGCACAAGAACAGCGCGUGCUCUGCUUCCCUGCCCAUCUGCCCGCAGGACCGGACCUAAGCUCCUCAAAGGCGGGACCAUCUGAUACACCUUGAAUCUCCAGAUUCGAGCACUGUCAAGUUUCAUGGUUAACAAAGGUUUAUUAAUGAAAUGAACUAAUAUAAUGUCAUAUUGUAUAACAUCUUCUAUUAUAUAUUACGUAUAGUUUAAGAUGAAAUAAAGCAAAGCUGGUAAUACUGAAAUAUUCUAAACUGGAGCUGUAAUGACAUUUUCAACAAGCGUCUGAGGGUGGAGGAUGACCCAAGCAGAAGGUCUGGGAAAUGGGUGGCGAACCGUUUCUGUGCUGGAGACUGUUAACAGUCUGGAAAUGCCUGUAGGUCCCUUCUCAAAUGAUUUUUUUUAAAUACAUAGUGAAAUGCAUAAUAUGACAAAGGAAAUCAGUCCAUGUUGAGUUAGUUACCAAAAGAGGGUUUUCGUUCUUCUUGUUGUUUUACGUAGCAUGAUUUUUUAAUUUAUUAAUUAUUUUUAAAGCUAU
rnacentral:lncRNA from 1 species